CGAGGAAGGAUAAGCCUUCGCCGUCACACCUUGUGCUGCCAGCUUCGUCGCACCUCAUCAUCAUUAUCGCUGCCGGACCUCCGUGUCGCACUGGCACCGCGAGUUGCUAUCGAGCCACCACAAGCAGGACCCGAUGCAAAGAGAGAGACAGAACGACGCGAGGAGAGAAAGAAGUUAUUGCGGGGUGGUUUCUGCCACCGCUGCUUUCUCCGCCAUCGCCGUCUAUGGAGCUCGCCGCCGCCGAAGUCACGAGCUGAGGUGGGGGAGGAGGCCAUCUUCCCUGUGUUGUUGCAGUCACCGUGAUGUUACUGCUACGCUUCAUUUUCUUGUUUUCCUUCAUUACUGAUUAAGCCGCCGCAGCUGUGGGCUGUGAUGGUUGAUGCUCUUUAAGAAUCGUUGCUGCUGGGGUGACUAGAAUCGCUACUGCUAGUUCUAACAUUGCUACCGUUGCUAUUGACUUGCCCCAAUUCAAGUUCAGUGUCACUGCCCUAGGUCUAGCCUUUCUCCUGACUCUGUUUCACUUUUAUACUAUGAACUGCCUUGGUCUCAUUUAUCUGUUUGUUAUUAUUUUAAUUCCAUUUUAGUUUCGGUGUUGCCUUGAAUUUUCAGAGUUGUUUUUGCGUUUGAUUCCAUCAAAUUCGAUGUUGCUGCGAGUGUAAUCGGAGUUGGUGAUGCUGCCAUCAUCCCAGUUGUGUUGGAAUCGCCACUGCUAUUGUGAGUUUAGGUUAAGCGGGACUAUUGUGUUGAAUUAUGCGACUACGACAUCGAGGUAGGGGCACUUUUCUUAAA